UUUUCACUGUUCCCAGCGUCGGCUGACAUUGUAUGUGGGGGAGAGGGGAAAUGCCAUUUUCAAAACCAGAGGUUUGAAUUGUGUUGGCGCGUGAAUGUAACGGCAGCUGCUGAUUCCACAUUCCAUUCGGAAGAUUGACAGAGGGAGAAUAUCGGAAGUGAAACUACACGUGGCUGAGGAGAAAGAAGACAUUGGACUAUUAUUGUAUGACCUCUAGUAGGGGGAGGGUUCAGGAGAGAAUAUGACUCUGGGGAUUUGAUUUACUUCCAGUUCCAGCUUUGCUUUCACCGCAUCCAGACUUGUAUGAUAAAGAUUACCAAAUUCUUCAACAUGAUGAAGUUGGGUUUUUAUUUUCUCAAACACUGAUCUGGGGCAGGCUGACAUUAAGCUGGAACUCACCCAAAAUCAGUCAUCCCGGAUCACAACCGAGGGGAUUGAAAUUUUUUUUUCCCAUAACGAUGUCGGAGCACGAAUACGAACUUGAUGAGGAACAGCUGGCAGACAUCUCAUCCCAGGACCAUCGCAGACAAGCUGAUAAAAAAUAUUUUCUGGGAAAAAAGCCAAUCUCAGAAGAUGAGCUGGAGGAGUCAGAAGCAGCCUUGGCAGCCACGUCGGGCCCUCCCAAAUAUUCAGGAAUUUCUGCAGAGUGGCUGGAGAAAUUACAACUAGAGGAAAAACAAGAGAAGGCCAAACUGGAUUUUAAAAGUUUUCCAGACCCAGGGGAACCACAAUCCAGAGUUACUAGACGUAAACAACAAAGAAAACUCUCUGCUUGGCAACAAGAGCAGCAAAUAAAAGAUCAGUUACAGAUUGCAGAAGCUGUGAGACUGUAUCGUGAGGUGAAAGAGCGACAGAGAUAUCGUGAAAGGUAUGAAAACCCCACCCAAACGCCCUGGGGGGAGAGGGAAGAGGUGGAAACAGAAAUUUCAAUGGCCACUGGUGAUGCAGCAUACACCAGAGAGAUUCAGGAGGACCGAGAGCCUGAGCUGCAUUCUCCAGGAGCUGCAGAUAUGGCCACGGGUCAGGGGGUCCCCACUCCACAAAUGUUGCCUCAUAGAAGAAAAAAACCUAAAAUUCCACCAAUUCCCAGAAAGUUUGAUGGGGACCCCAAAGAAUUAGGCUUAUUCCAGGCUAUGGUGGAUAGCCACAUGCAAGAAUGGGGGGAAGAUUAUCUGUCAGAAGCCUCUAGAGUAAGAAGCGUGACUCAAGUCUUGAGUGGCUUCCUGGUACGUGACUUUAUACCAAGAGGAUUCCCCUCUCCUAAGGAACUACCAUCAUUUUAUGGCCACCCUGAGAAUGAGAUUUGAGGACCCCUUGGCAGAACAAAAGGCCAAGAUUCACAUGAGGUCCAUCAGACAAGGGAGGAGACCAGUGACUGACUACAACCAAGAGUUCAGCGAUCUGGUACCUCUCAUGAGAGGAUGGCCGGAAGUGGCUCUUUUGGACUUAUAUAAAGACGGCCUAAACGGAGAAUUAUAUAAAUUAUGUAGAGCCUGAGUAUCCCCGACUACCCUGCAUGGCUGGUACACCCUGGCAGCAGAAAUGGAGAUAGACCUAGCCAAGGACCGCCUGUGAAGCGAUCGUAGUUGGAGGCAAACUCAACCUCAAUUCCAGAGGGAACCAACCAAGGAUUCUGUUGCAGUGGAGAGUGGGAAGAAGAAACCCACAGGCUGUUUCAGAUGUGGAAAAGAAGGCCACCGAGCCGCUGAUUGUCGGGCAAAGCUGCCGCCAAAGGCGACCCCUAGUGGCAAAAAACCAACGGCGCAGGCGGAACCAAAAUCGCGAGAGGUCGCAAAGAGGGGAACAGAUGACGCAAAGUACGCUCCUCCCAUCGAGAAGGAAGUUGGGACUCCAACCGGGUCAGAUGACACCGAGCCAUCUUCGGAAUCGGAUGAGGACCUCUUGGACUAACGUCCUUCUUUCGAAGGAGGGCCGAAUGUCAGCCUCUGCUUUAAUUUAGUGUAUUUCUCCUACUAGAUUAUCUGACUAUUUUAUUACCUUGUUAAAAGUUUGCUCUACUGAUUGUCUUACAUGCUUUAUGGAGAAGGGGGGGGGAGAUUUUCACUGUUCCCAGCGUCGGCUGACAUUGUAUGUGGGGGAGAGGGGAAAUGCCAUUUUCAAAACCAGAGGUUUGAAUUGUGUUGGCGCGUGAAUGUAACGGCAGCUGCUGAUUCCACAUUCCAUUCGGAAGAUUGACAGAGGGAGAAUAUCGGAAGUGAAACUACACGUGGCUGAGGAGAAAGAAGACAUUGGACUAUUAUUGUAUGACCUCUAGUAGGGGGAGGGUUCAGGAGAGAAUAUGACUCUGGGGAUUUGAUUUACUUCCAGUUCCAGCUUUGCUUUCACCGCAUCCAGACUUGUAUGAUAAAGAUUACCAAAUUCUUCAACAUGAUGAAGUUGGGUUUUUAUUUUCUCAAACACUGAUCUGGGGCAG